rnacentral:snRNA from 1 species
AUGUUUGCUUCAGCAGCAUGUACACUGAAAUUGGAAUGAUAUAGAGAUUAGCAUGGCCUCUGUGCAAGGAUGACAUGCAAAUUCAUGAAGCAUUCCAUAUUUUU